rnacentral:rRNA from 1 species
UACGUAGGGUCCGAGCGUUGUCCGGAAUUACUGGGCGUAAAGCGUGCGUAGGCGGUUCGUUAAGUCUGUCGUGAAAGCCCUGGGCUCAACCUGGGAAUUGCGAUGGAUACUGGCGAGCUAGAGUACGGUAGAGGAUGGUGGAAUUCCCGGUGUAGCGGUGAAAUGCGUAGAGAUCGGGAGGAACACCCGUGGCGAAGGCGGCCAUCUGGACCAGAACUGACGCUGAGGCACGAAAGCGUGGGGAGCAAACAGG